rnacentral:rRNA from 1 species
AUACGGGGGGAGCGAGCGUUGUCCGGAUUCAUUGGGCGUAAAGGGCGCGUAGGCGGGUCCGUAAGUGAGAGGUGAAAUCCCGGGGCUUAACUCCGGAAUUGCCUUUCAUACUGCGGGCCUCGAGUUCGGGAGAGGGAGAUGGAAUUCCUGGUGUAGCGGUGGAAUGCGUAGAUAUCAGGAGGAACACCGGUGGCGAAGGCGGUCUCCUGGCCCGAUACUGACGCUGAGGCGCGAAAGCGUGGGGAGCAAACAGGAUUAGAAACCCCAGUAGUCC